AUUGAACGCUGGCGGCAGGCCUAACACAUGCAAGUCGAGCGAGCGGCGGACGGGUGAGUAAUGUAUGGGGACUGCCCGAUAGAGGGGGAUAACUACUGGAAACGGUGGCUAAUACCGCAUACUAUCGGAUAACCCAUAUGGGAUUAGCUAGGAGGGGGGGUAAAGGCUCACCUAGGCGACGAUCUCUAGCUGGUCUGAGAGGAUGAUCAGACAAACGGGGACUGGGACACGGCCAAAAGGCCGACGGAGGCAGCAGGGGGGAAUAUUGGACAAUGGGCGCAGUCCUGAUGCAGCCAUGCCGCGUGUAUGAAGAAGGCCUUAGGGUUGUAAAGUACUUUCAGCGGGGAGGCGUUACCCGCAGAAGAAGCACCGGCUAACUCCGUGCCAGCAGCCGCGGUAAUUC
rnacentral:rRNA from 1 species